rnacentral:rRNA from 1 species
GACGAACGCUGGCGGCGUGCUUAACACAUGCAAGUCGAACGGAAAGGCCCUGCUUGUGUGGGGUGCUCGAGUGGCGAACGGGUGAGUAACACGUGAGUAACCUACCCUUGACUUUGGGAUAACUUCAGGAAACUGGGGCUAAUACCGGAUAGGAGCUCACGCAGCAUGGUGAGGGUUGGAAAGUUUCGGCGGUUGGGGAUGGACUCGCGGCUUAUGAGCUUGUUGGUGGGGUAGUGGAUUACCAAGGCUUUGACGGGUAGCCCGCCUGAGAGGGGGACCGGCCACGAUAGUCCUGCGAUAGGGCCCAGUCGCGAACGUUGGACAGCAGUGGGGAAUAUUGCACAAUGGUCUGAAGCCUGUUGCGGCAACGCCGCGGGCGGAAUGACGGCCUUUGGGUAGUGAACCGCUUUCGCCUGUGACGAAGCGUUUGUGACGGUAAUGGGUAAAUAAGCACCGGCUAACUACGUG